CAGUGGGUGGACUGCACUCUGCUGAGCUUUGGAGUCCCUCGUGUGAGGAUGUGAGCCCCGGUUUUAGCUGUGCACAAUAAAUCAGCACCAAAAUGCACCAACUGUAAGAAAAGUUAGAAAUACUUCACUGCAAUCAACUGAUUUCUCUCUCCCCCAUCCUGGUGUAAAUCAGGAGUAACCCCACUGGACUCAAGGGGCUGAUUCUCCCAUCACUCAUCUCAGGGCUUGUCGGACUCACUCCCUGGAGCCCUCAACAGCCCAGAGGCAACAAUUAAUUUCUCUUGCCAUCUACUUCCCUGAAGAGUUUCCAGAAACUAAAAUAAUCACAAUUAAAACAAGGCAGCAGGAUCUAGAGGAAAGAUUUGGCCAGUACCACCUGAUUCAGAGGAAAGUCUAAGAGGCCCUAUAGAGGACAGUUCUCGAAUAACCUGCCCAUUGUGGAGUCUCAUCAUCAUCAGUUUGUGAAUGAUCUAUGGCAUGAGGAAGAUUCCAUCACUGACAACUUUCAAAUCAAGAUUGGAUGUUUUUCUAAAGGAUCUGCUCUAGAUAUUAUUUUGGGGAUGUUCUGUGGGUUGGGUUAUACAGGAGGUCAGACUAGACAGUCACUAUGGUCCCUUCUGGCCUUGGAAUCUGUUAAUCUAAUUUCAUCUCCACCAAAAAUAGGGGAAAAAAUUCUCAAAAAACCUCACAAAAUGGUAGGUUUUUAAAAAAGAUUCUAAAUUUCUAUGAAUUAAAAAAAAUAAAAUUUUCUUUAAAUAAUGAUGUAGAAUGAUUCUGAUCCUCUCCCCUGUUUUUGACCAGAAGUAUUAAAAUUAAUUCCAGGAGAUUUUAGCUGAAUUAGGCAACAUCUCAGAGUAACACAACUCCACUUCUCUCUUGGUGAUGUAGGCUAUUUUGUGUUCAUGGAGGGUCAACAUGACCACUGAUGGGAUUUUCAAGGUUGCCUAUAGAUAUUUGGCCACCAAAAUUCCAAUUAGUUUUAAGGGGAAUUUGAUAUCCUAGCCCCCUAGGUGAACAUCUCCACCCAUAGUUUUACGAUCAAAACCUGCAACUCUUUUCUGGUGGGAUUUUUAAAGCCAUUAUUCAAUAUUUUUAUUAACAACUUGGAUAACGAAGGAUAGCAUAUGCUUAUAAAACUUGCAGAUGAAACCAAGCUGGGAGGGGUUGCAAACACUUUGGAGGACAGGAUGAGAAUUCAAAAUGACCUUGAACAAAUUGGAGAAUUAUUCUAAAAUCAACAAGAGGAAAUUCAAUAAAGACAAGUGCAAAGUUCUUCUCUUACCAAGGAAAAAUCAAAUGUAUAACUAAAAAAUGGGGAAUCACUGUCUAAGUGGUGGCAUUGCUGAAAAGUAUCUCAGAACUAGAGUGGAUCACAAACUGAAUAUGAGUCAACAAUGUGAUGUAGUUGCGAAAAUAUCAUUUGGGUUUAUUAAAAAGCAUGCCGUAUAUAAGACACGGGAGGUAAUUGUCCCGCUCUACUUGGCACUUGUGAGGCCUCAGCUGGAGUACUGUGUCCGGUCCUGGGUGCCACAGUUUAAGAAAGAUGGGGACAGAUUAGAGAGAGUUCAGAGGAGACCAACAAAAAUGAUCAAAGGUUUAGCAAACCUGACCUAUGAGGAACAGUUUAAAAAAAACGGCAUGCAGAGGAAUGGGGUUUGAUCUGGAAAAGAGGACCAGCAAUCUCAGUCUGUAGUACAAUACAAGGAAAUUUAUUUAAAAUACUGUUUGAAUGGUACCUCACACAGCCAGGUUAAAUAUAUAUAUACAGAUUAAAUGGGGAUAAAUGUUAGAGAAAUUGUGGUGAAAGAGGAGAUUUGAUGCAUUGGACAUGUCUAGUCAUUAGAGAGUAUUGGAAGCAAUCUGUAACAAAAUGACCCAAUUGUUGGAUAUUUAUUAUCUAAUAACCUUCUGGUGAUCCUCCUGGGGCUUCCUGAUGGAAAUGGUCACACAAAAGGAAAUGAAAAAUUAACCUCUGAUCUGCUCAGCUAUUAGUAACCUCUCAAUGGGAAAAGAAAAAUAGUCCAACCAUUGAGGAAUGGUUCAAAACAAUAUGGCAGGUUGAUUAUGGAAAAUUAACACAACAAUUACAUAUUCAUCAAAAUAGACAGAGGACAGAUAGGUACUUAAAUAAUUGUUUACCUCUUAUUAUAUUAUUAUGCUCAAAGUAUAUUCACCCGCAAAAAAAAAAAAAAAAUACCCAGCACACCUGUCCAAUUCUUUGCAUAUGAACAUUUGAUAGACAUACCUGAUCUGUUAAAUAUGUGAAUACAGAGAUUUCACUCAAUUUAAUAAAAUCACCAGAAAUGACAUAGGAGUUGUAAUGAUCCUCACUCUGUACUAUGGUAUCACCCUGUUAAAUAGAAAGAUCUGGUGAUUAUAUUCCCGUAUGAUGUCUCUUUAAACCAAAGUUCACUGUUGUAAUGAUUGUUUUGUUUCUGAUAUUUGCAUGGUAAGGAUUUGUAAACUUGUUAAAACUUCCUAAAUAAACAGUAAAAAAAC